AAGAGACAGCAGUCGCCACGGGAAUACAGAGGGUGCGAGCGUUAAUCGGAUUUACUGGGCGUAAAGCGUGCGUAGGCGGCUUCUUAAGUCGGAUGUGAAAUCCCUGAGCUUAACUUAGGAAUUGCAUUCGAUACUGGGAAGCUAGAGUAUGGGAGAGGAUGGUAGAAUUCCAGGUGUAGCGGUGAAAUGCGUAGAGAUCUGGAGGAAUACCGAUGGCGAAGGCAGCCAUCUGGCCUAAUACUGACGCUGAGGUACGAAAGCAUGGGGAGCAAACAGGAUUAGAUACCCCAGUAGUCCCUGUCUCUUAUAC
rnacentral:rRNA from 1 species